UACGUAGGGUGCAAGCGUUGUCCGGAAUUAUUGGGCGUAAAGAGCUCGUAGGCGGUCUGUCACGUCGGCUGUGAAAUCCCGAGGCUCAACCUCGGGUCUGCAGUCGAUACGGGCAAACUAGAGUAUUGCAGGGGAGACUGGAAUUCCCGGUGUAGCGGUGAAAUGCGCAGAUAUCGGGAAGAACACCCGUGGCGAAGGCGGCUCUCUGGGACGGUACUGACGCUGAGACGCGAAAGCGUGGGGAGCGAACAGG
rnacentral:rRNA from 1 species